GACGAACCGUGCGAACGUUAUUCGGAAUCACUGGGCUUAAAGCGCGUGUAGGCGGACGAGAACGUCGGUCGCUGAAAUCCCCCGGCUCAACCGGGGAACGGGCGCCGAAACGACCCGUCUCGAGGGACGUAGGGGGACCUGGAACUUCCGGUGGAGCGGUGAAAUGCGUUGAGAUCGGAAGGAACGCCCGUGGCGAAAGCGAGGUCCUGGACGUCUACUGACGCUGAGACGCGAAAGCUAGGGGAGCGAACGGG
rnacentral:rRNA from 1 species